GCCUUCGUGGCGUAGUGGCCAGCACGCUCGACGCGUAUUCGAGAGGUUCGUGGUUCGAGUCCCGGCGAAGGCG
rfam:Stegodyphus mimosarum contig126020, whole genome shotgun sequence.